rnacentral:rRNA from 1 species
AACGAACGCUGGCGGCAUGCCUAACACAUGCAAGUCGAACGAGACCUUCGGGUCUAGUGGCGCACGGGUGCGUAACGCGUGGGAACCUGCCCUUAGGUUCGGAAUAACUCCCCGAAAGGGGUGCUAAUACCGGAUAAUGUCUUCGGACCAAAGAUUUAUCGCCUUUGGAUGGGCCCGCGUUGGAUUAGCUAGUUGGUAGGGUAAAAGCCUACCAAGGCGACGAUCCAUAGCUGGUCUGAGAGGAUGAUCAGCCACACUGGGACUGAGACACGGCCCAGACUCCUACGGGAGGCAGGAGGGGGGAAUAUUGGACAAUGGGCGAAAGCCUGAUCCAGCAAUGCCGCGUGAGUGAUGAAGGCCUUAGGGUUGUAAAGCUCUUUUACCCGGGAUGAUAAUGACAGUACCGGGAGAAUAAGCUCCGGCUAACUCCGUG